ensembl:lncRNA
UACAGCAGUCCUCAUCAAAGCAGGACGGACCGGCUGGAUUAGAGCUCGUUCUCCCACAAGAGUUCGAUGUUCCACACAGGGGGCCAAGAAGAGGGCAGGAUUUAAAUUGCAGCUUGGCACACGAAUGAUGGCCCAUCACCUAAAGAAAAGCGGAAAAUAGAAGCGCUCUCUCAGCCCGCUGGCUUUCCUCUGGAGCAGCUGUCGGUCAGCGUCAGUUGGUGAAUCUCGGAAACACAGAUCGCUAAUGAGGCUGGAGCUCUCGAGGACUGCCUGGCCCUGAACUCAGCAUCACACGGUGCUAAGUGACGAGGAUCCCCUGCUGCACCCGGGGAGGCUUAUGCAUCUGAAACGCUUCUGCUGCUGCUGUGAUGGUGGUGUUGCAGACCCCCCAUGCCGGCCAGAUCUUUCUGCAGCUUCUGCACCGACACAUGAUCUGACUAGGAAGGAUGCAAAGGUGGAAGCAGACCGUGCUGGAUUCAGUUUCACAGCAUCUUACUGGAGCAAACACACACAACAUACUGCAAGGUUUUCAGUAGUAUCUACUUCCCCCUUUUUUUUUCUUUUUUUUUGUUUGAGAGGACACGGAUACACCCUGACUGGGCCCCUGUAGUGCUCUACAUUGUGGCUGGGAAGUACCUAGUUUUACAACUGUCAUGCUGGCCUGCUUAAAGGGACAGUGCUGAUCAAUUCGAAGCACAUAUUGAGGGGUCUUUUAGUCACCCUAACAAGGGGGUCACAUGGAUGUUUGAGUCGUCACCUGAUGUGUGAGGAAUGUGCAGUCAGAAGAGCCGUUUUCUGCAUCAAGCACUGCAUAAAAAUACUGAUUGAUAUUUGUUAAAAGAAUGUCUUUAAUAAAAAGUUGAAUUGAAUGGGGUGUGAGAGUUUCCUGCUUUUGAAAAACGAAAGAGAGAAGACUCACAGCUCUACAGGUUCUUUUUAGUCUUAAUGCAUAGUGGAUUUGUUUUGAACUCUUAAUGAAAUCCAACCAUUCUGAGGUGAAAAGGAAUCUACCAUGCAAUCAUUUCUAAAAUCACAAAUGUGUGUUUUCCAAGUGUUUUCUGGCACUUCACACUGUUGAAUGGUAGGAAAAAGCUGCACACUUUGUCUGAAUACAUUUCUCAGCGUUUAUGAAGGCAGAGUCCAUAAAAGCGAGUUGAGUGCGCUCAUUACAUUGAUGCCCGUCCUGGGUGUUCUGCAUCACUGCCCUCUGUUUACAGCUGCAGAGAGUGAAAGUACUUAAUCUGUACAUGAACUCUCUGAACUUCACCAUGAGGGUCAUUUACACACAAUGGACACCGGGCACUGUGACAGCACUUACUACAAAAUCCUAAACGAUAC